rnacentral:SRP_RNA from 1 species
GGUCCGGUCCCACGCGAUGGCGUAGGUCCGAACCGGGUCAGGCCGGGAACGGAGCAGCCCUAAGGUCCUCACGCCAGGCGCGAGGUGCCCGGGCCCUU